ensembl:lncRNA
CCCGCCUCAGCUUAGAGCGCGCGCACGGUAACGCGCUUCCCUCAGGGCGAGCCUUGCUUUGGGCCGCCUCAGCCUGCAUUCUCACCUCUGUGUGUGGUUACGGCGCUUGUGUCUUGCAGCUUCGCUUUUUAUUGGUAUACGUGGAACUGAAAAGCAAACAGAUCCACUGAAGUGUUGUGUUUUUUGCACCUAUCAUCACCCUCAAGUCUCCGUAUAACGUGUGGUAAAAAAUGGGGCAAUGGAGAAAUGACAUAUUCAAUGGACAGGGCACUAUAAUUCAUUGUUCCUGUGACAUCUGUGAUAGACUGUGGAUCAAUGGGUGCACUGCUGAGCAGUGCAGAAGAGGCUGAUCCUAUUGUGCUGUCCCUCCUUGAGGGAAGGUUGGAGUGAUUCACUGUGCUGCAACUCUUGAG